rnacentral:rRNA from 1 species
GAUGAACGCUGGCGGCGUGCCUAAUACAUGCAAGUCGAGCGAACAGAUGAGGAGCUUGCUCCUCUGACGUUAGCGGCGGACGGGUGAGUAACACGUGGAUAACCUACCUAUAAGACUGGGAUAACUUCGGGAAACCGGAGCUAAUACCGGAUAAUAUAUUGAACCGCAUGGUUCAAUAGUGAAAGACGGUUUUGCUGUCACUUAUAGAUGGAUCCGCGCCGCAUUAGCUAGUUGGUAAGGUAACGGCUUACCAAGGCAACGAUGCGUAGCCGACCUGAGAGGGUGGUCGGCCACACGGGAACGGAGACACGGUCCAGACUCCUACGGGAGGCAGCAGAAGGGAAUGUGACGCAGUGGGCGAAAGCAUGACGGAGCAACGCCGAGUGAGUGAUAAAGGUCUUCGGAGCGUAAAACUCUGUUAUUAGGGAAGAACAAAUGUGUACGUAACUAUGCACGUCGUGACGGUACCUAAUCAGAAAGCAACGGCUAACUACGUG